rnacentral:SRP_RNA from 2 species
GCCGGGUGUGGUGGUGCGCGCCUGUAAUCCUAGCUACUGAAGAGGCUGAGGCAGGAGAAUCGCUUGAACCCGGGAGGCGGAGGUUGCAGUGAGCCAAGAUGGCACCACUGGACUCCAGCCUGGGUGACAGAGUGAGACUCUGUCUCAA